GCAGAUGUACUCAAGUGGUUAAGAGGGCUGUUUGCUAAACAGUUAGAUGCUGAAAAGCAUGCGAGGGUUCGAAUCCCUUCGUCUGCGCCA
rnacentral:tRNA from 1 species